CUAGGAUGAACGCUGGCGGCGUGCUUAACACAUGCAAGUCGAACGAAGCAUUAUAAGGAAGUUUUCGGAUGGAAUUAUAAAUGACUUAGUGGCGGACGGGUGAGUAACGCGUGGGUAACCUGCCUCAUACAGGGGGAUAACAGCUGGAAACGACUGCUAACACCGCAUAAGCCUACAGUCUCGCAUGAGACAGUAGGAAAUAUUUAUAGGUAUGAGAUGGACCCGCGUCUGAUUAGCUAGUUGGUGAGGUAACGGCCCACCAAGGCGACGAUCAGUAGCCGACUUGAGAGAGUGAUCGGCCACAUUGGGACUGAGACACGGCCCAAACUCCUACGGGAGGCAGCAGUGGGGAAUAUUGCACAAUGGGGGAAACCCUGAUGCAAGCGACGCCGCGUGAGUGAAGAAGUAUUUCGGUAUGUAAAGCUCUAUCAGCAAGGAAGAUAAUGACGGUACUUGACUAAGAAGCCCCGGCUAACUACGUGCCAGCAGCUGC
rnacentral:rRNA from 1 species